AUGGGAGUCGUCCGUAGCUUUGAGCCACAACUAGCAAACACGGGGGGCCACGCCCGUGCACUGCAGAUCAUGGAUGCCGAGUCACUCAAACCCGAGCGGCCGGCUGACCUUGCGCCGGCUGACCAGCCAGCCACCUGCCACGGCGUCGCGCUUGCCAUGCUAGAGGAAGUCGCGCCUGAUCCGGUUGAGUUUCUUGAGGAUGGUUGGGCGCAGGGCCAUGGCCAUGAAGAUGUGAGUGGGCAUGGCCCCGAGCACGUGCCGGAUGAAAGCGAGCCACUCCCCUCGAGAAAGGAGGGAGGCCCUCCAGGUUGGCAAUUUGCGGGCCAUGCGCUCGACGAGUGGCAUGAUCUUGGCUGCCAAGAUCUUCCGAACCGAGAGGGGGAUGCCAAGAUAUGUGAUGGGGAAGUGCGUGAUCGGGCAAGAAAAGGCCUGCUCAAUAACCAUGGACUGCACAUCCGUGCAUUGGAUUGGCAUGGCGGAGCACUUGCUGAAGUUGGUGUGCAGCCCAGACACGGACCCGAAAGCCCGAAGCAGCUCACAGAUAGCCUCAAGCUCGUGAGGGCCCGGGUGGCAGAAGAUGACCACGUCGUCGGCGUAGAGAGAGAUGCUCGAGACCAACCGGCGGUCAGUGAGGCGGCGCAGCACACCAGUCCUGAUAGCAUGCUGGAGCAGAGAGUUGAGCGCGUCAAUCACCAGAGUGAAUAA
rnacentral:rRNA from 1 species